UUUGCUUUAUUCAACAAUCCAGUCGCGUUCGGUGGAUAUGGUUCUCGUGACAUGGCUUUUCAUCGGCUUUGUAUUCCGAGCGUACAUGACUAGAUCCAUACUCACCAGACGAGGCUGGACCAAUCAUCGAAAGCUCUU
rnacentral:precursor_RNA from 11 species